GGGGUUAUAGCUCAGCGGUAGAGUGCGUGCCUAGCAAGCACGAGGUCCUGGGUCCAAUCCCCAAUACUCUA
rnacentral:tRNA from 1 species